rnacentral:piRNA from 1 species
UCCCAUGUUGCCAUGUUCCUGUUCUUAGUC